rnacentral:rRNA from 1 species
GACGAACGCUGGCGGCGUGCUUAACACAUGCAAGUCGAACGGAAAGGCGCUGCUUUUGUGGGGUUCUCGAGUGGCGAACGGGUGUGUAACACGUGAGUAACCUCCCCUUGACUUUGGGAUAACUUCAGGAAACUGGGGCUAAUACCGGAUAGAAGCUCCUGCUGCAUGGUGGGGGUUGGAAAGUUUCGGCGGUUGGGGAUGGACUCGCGGCGUCUUAGCUUGAUGGUACGGUAGUGGCUUACCAAGGCUUGGACGGGUAGACGGCCUGAGAGGGUGAGCGGCCACACGGGAACGGAGACACGGACCAGAGGCCGGCGGGAGGGAGCAGUAGGGAAUCGGGCGCAAUGGGCGGAAGCCUGACGGAGCGACGCCGCGUGAGUGAAGAAGGUCUGCGGAUCGGAAAAGGGUGUUAGUGGGGAAGAACAACUGUGUAAGGAACUAUGCACGUCUUGACGGUACCUAAUAAGAAAGCCACGGCUAACUACGUG